UUGUUAAACAAAGAACAGGGUCUUUUGGGGAUCGACCUGCAAGACCUACUCUUUUAGAACAAGUGUUAAAUCAAAAAAGACUGUCAUUACUAAGAAGUCCAGAAGUAGUGCAGUUUUUACAGAAACAGCAGCAACUAUUAAAUCAGCAAGUUUUGGAGCAAAGACAGCAACAGUUUCCAGGAGCAUCAGUAUGAGGAAACUUGUCAAAAGGAUCUAUGUGUUUUUUUAUCUUAUUGUAAGAACUGAACAUAUUUUUAUACUAAAGAUAAAUGGGUAAUAUAUGCCAGUAGAAUAUAAACAUUUUCCUGUAAAUGUGUGUGUGCAUUUGAAGAUAAAUAAGUAUUGCACUUUGUGCUUCUAAUCCUUUCAGAUCACCAUGAGUUUGAAGAAAUUAGUUUAUCUUUCCAAGAGAACAUUUAAUUAAAAUUUAUUUUUAAAAUAUGUUCCUCUUCAGUCAUUGUUACUGAAGGUAAUGAAGCAGUUACUUUCUGUGGAAGUCAUGAAGUUAAUAGAUGUUAAUCUUGAAUCAUCUAGUUCACUGGUUCUCAUCAAGGGAAAGCUGGAAAUAUCUGGAUCUGUUUUUUGGUUGUGAUAGUGACCUUGAAAACGGCUGGGUUUUAGUGAGUGGGCCAAGAAUAAGAAAUGUUCUGUGAUGUCUGAUAUAGUCCAACACACUAAGAAUUCUCUCACCCUCAAUGCCAAUAAUACUCCUCUUAGGAAACAUUGAUGACUAUUUGUAGUGACAGCAUAUAGUUGGGGCACCUAGAAUUGAGUUCUUGUAAUAACCCUUCUUUGCAGUUAAGACUGGAGCUGUCCAAGAGGUAAGCAUAUUUUAUAUUUAUAAGGAAAGUGAUAAUUGUUUAGUAUCUAUGAAACUAGAAUGUGCAUCUCUUUUCAGAGAUGUGUUGGUAAAAUGUGAGAGAUGGAUUAAGUGCACUGGAAUGAAUGCAUCUCCUACAGUUGGCCUUUCUAUUUCAUGUUGCCUAUUAUUAUGAUAAUUUUUGAAGCAGAUACUCGUGUGUUGAAUUUAUAAACUGCAUAGAACUCAGCCCAUCAAUGCCAGGACAAAAUUAUUUUUCUUAUACCCAUUUUUCACUGAAGAAUAUGAGAAAGAUAUUCUUUUCAAAAAGGAGAACCUGAAAAUAAGAAUAACAUUCUAGCAUUUUGUCAUUGUUUUUCAAAAUUGAGCUAUUUAAGACUGUUAUUCCCAAGUAAUGUUCAAAAAUGAUAGGUCAUCUGAAGAGACACUUUUUUCUUGUAUUUCCACCUAGAAAAACUUUAAAAAGGCAAACCUAUCAUUAAGAAUUACAAAUUAAAUAUCAAGAAAGUAUAUCCAGUAUUAGGAUGAUAAAUGUAUAUGUCUCCAGUUUAACUGUCAAAAUUUGUUGCUUACCUGCUUUUUAAACUCUGAAAUAUAUAUCAAGUUAAACUUAGUCAUGGCUGUUUUAAGAAGUACUCAUGGAGAGAAAAAAAUGUCUUUGUUCAUUUUGUGUUUUAUACCCGCAUAUGUUCAAAAACUUUCUUACCAAAAUUAUUUAUUAAAGUAACAGUUGUUGAACUUUGA